UUCAUACAAGAUGGUGGAUUUUUGUCUCUGACAGGUAGGAAGGGGUUUUGUGUGGUUUUUUUUUUUUGGAUCCGUCUUUUACAUUUUCUUUCAUUCCGCUCGCCUGGUUCGGCUCCACCCCUCGGUGGUAGACAAGUGGGAGGGUGAACGGCUGGAGCAUGCCUCUUCGGUCAUGUACAAUGGUUUCCCCCGUGCCGUUCCGGACGGAGUACCUGCACUUCAACAAUGAAGAGAUCUUUGUGAACGAACUUACCUUCACUCCAGCUCUCGUUUCCUUUUCAUAAGGAAAAACAAAAUAUCGGUACAAAGAUCUGCCUCCACUCCAGACGCAGCUGUGUCUUAAGCAGAGACUUGGCUUGAUUGACAGAAUCACCCACAUGAGGCGUAACCUACACUCCGCCGACUCG